UACGGGGGGAGCAAGCGUUGUUCGGAUUUACUGGGCGUAAAGGGCGCGUAGGCGGUCGUGACAAGUCACUUGUGAAAUCUCCGGGCUUAACUCGGAACGGUCAAGUGAUACUGUCGGACUAGAGUACAGAAGGGGCAACUGGAAUUCUCGGUGUAGCGGUGAAAUGCGCAGAUAUCAGGAGGAACACCGGUGGCGAAGGCGGGUCUCUGGGCCGAUACUGACGCUGGAGGAGCGAAAGCGUGGGGAGCAAACAGG
rnacentral:rRNA from 1 species